GACGAACGCUGGCGGCGUGCUUAACACAUGCAAGUCGAACGGGGUAGAGAGCUUCGGUUUUCUACUUAGUGGCGAACGGGUGAGUAACGCGUGAGGAACCUGCCUUUCAGUGGGGGACAACAGUUGGAAACGACUGCUAAUACCGCAUAAUGUAUCUGGACCGCAUGAUCUGGAUACCAAAGAUUUAUUGCUGAAAGAUGGCCUCGCGUCUGAUUAGCUAGUUGGUGGGGUAACGGCCCACCAAGGCGACGAUCAGUAGCCGGACUGAGAGGUUGAACGGCCACAUUGGGACUGAGAUACGGCCCAG
rnacentral:rRNA from 1 species